rnacentral:rRNA from 1 species
GACGAACGCUGGCGGCGUGCUUAACACAUGCAAGUGGAGCGACGAACCGGGCUUCGGCCCGGGGCAAAGCCGCGAACGGGUGAGUAACACGUGGGUAACCUGCCCCGAUGAUUGGGACAACCUCGGGAAACCGAGGCUAAUACCAAAUGUGCUUUGUACCCCUCGAGGGUNUAAGGAAGGAAGCUUCGGCCUCGCAUUGGGAUGGGCCCGNGGCGCAUUAGCUUGUUGGUGGGGUAACGGCCUA